AUUUGGUUUCAGAAUAUAAGCAGGACAUUUGCAGAAAACUCAAAAUGGUCCUAAUGACACUCAAUUGGAAGAAAUGCUCAAGGAUUCGAAUUCUUUGCCUGUGAUGCACUUGUGACAUGAUUCUGCCUUGGAAGUUUUAUGGCCAGUGGAAGCGUGUAGUCAUGAUUUGAUGGGGGUUUGAAUGGGUGGACAAACAAAGCGUGGACAAAGUGCAUCGGAGAGAUACAGAUCAAUUGCGUGGUGCAGACCAAUGCUGCCUGAAACAGUUCACCACAGAUGAUAAGAAAAAGUCUGAGAAGAAUGUUUAAAAACUGGGCCCUUACCGCGAAACA